AUGCAUAUUAUGGCCUCAUGGUGCCUUUCGCUGUGAUGAGCAUGUUCUGGGGCUUCGUUGGCUUCUUGGUGCCUUGGUUUAUCCCUAAGGGUCCUUACUGGGAAGUUAUCAUUACCAUAUUGGUGACCUGUCCAGGUUUCUGCUAUCUCUUUUGGCUGAUUUCAAUUCUGGCCCAACUCAACCCUCUCUUUGGACCACAGUUGACAAAUGAAGCCGUCUGGUAUCUGAAGCAUCAUUGGCCUUGA
rnacentral:lncRNA from 1 species